CCAGGAAAAUAGUGAUGUGUCGUUCGUGAACGAUUCGUUCAAAACGAACGAAUCAUCUGGGUGAACGAACUGAACUGAAUCACUUACUGAAAAGAGUCGUUCAUUUCUCAACUUCAGUUGCGCUCUCCUCUCUCCCGUCUCGUGUCUCUCUCUCUAGACCGUAAGAGUCGCUCAAAGCCCGCCCUCCCUCUCCCUUUCAUGUCCGUGAUACGUACUGACUGAACCAACAGGACGGAGUCGGUCGGGAGCUCUGUGUCACUAAAGCCCGCCCCUCUCAUGUCUCGAAAAUUGAGGAAGUAGCAAAUAUAUUAUUUAACAUUUAGGUGUCGCGAAAAUGUAUGUGCUUUUUAUAGCUGCUGUCAGUUUGCAAAAGGCUUUUAUAUCCAACUUAAUUUCACUCAGCUGACUGUUUUAACAUCCACUAACGAUCGUGUUUCAGUCAGUACAGUGUGUGUGUGACUGAGGCUGGUAACUCGCAGUCUCGCUCUGAUUCGUUCACUGAACGUACUGAACGAGAGCUCCGCCUCCGAGUCACUCUCUUCCUCUCAGUCAGUCAGUCAGUCAGUGAUUGGUGUACUGAACGUACUGAACAGAACGGUCGGGGAAAAUAAAUGUGAUUGUUUUAGCAGC